UACAGAGGUCCCAAGCGUUGUUCGGAUUCACUGGGCGUAAAGGGUGCGUAGGCGGUCGGGUAAGUCUGAUGUGAAAUCUCACAGCUUAACUGUGAAACUGCAUUGGAUACUAUUCGGCUAGAGAGUUGGAGGGGGGACUGGAAUUCCUGGUGUAGCAGUGAAAUGCGUAGAUAUCAGGAGGAACACCGAUGGCGAAGGCAGGUCUCUGGGCUGACACUGACGCUCAUGCACGAAAGCGUGGGGAGCAAACAGG
rnacentral:rRNA from 1 species